GAGUUUGAUCCUGGCUCAGAGUGAACGCUGGCGGUAGGCCUAACACAUGCAAGUCGAACGGCAGCACAGGAGAGCUUGCUCUCUGGGUGGCGAGUGGCGGACGGGUGAGGAAUACAUCGGAAUCUACUUUUUCGUGGGGGAUAACGUAGGGAAACUUACGCUAAUACCGCAUACGACCUACGGGUGAAAGCAGGGGAUCUUCGGACCUUGCGCGAUUGAAUGAGCCGAUGUCGGAUUAGCUAGUUGGCGGGGUAAAGGCCCACCAAGGCGACGAUCCGUAGCUGGUCUGAGAGGAUGAUCAGCCACACUGGAACUGAGACACGGUCCAGACUCCUACGGGAGGCAGCAGUGGGGAAUAUUGGACAAUGGGCGCAAGCCUGAUCCAGCCAUACCGCGUGGGUGAAGAAGGCCUUCGGGUUGUAAAGCCCUUUUGUUGGGAAAGAAAUCCAGCUGGUUAAUACCCGGUUGGGAUGACGGUACCCAAAGAAUAAGCACCGGCUAACUUCGUGCCAGCAGCCGCGGUAAU
rnacentral:rRNA from 1 species